GGGCUCGCUUUGGCAGCACAUAUACUAAAAUUGGAACGAUACAGAGAAGGUUAGCAUGCCCUCUGCGGAAGGAUGACACGCAAAUUCGUGAAGCGUUCCUUAUUUUU
ensembl:snRNA U6 U6 spliceosomal RNA